rnacentral:rRNA from 1 species
UACGAAGGUCCCGAGCGUUGUUCGGAAUCACUGGGCGUAAAGGGAGCGUAGGCUGCGUAGUAAGUCAGAUGUGAAAUCCCGGGGCUCAACCCCGGAACUGCAUCCGAUACUGCUAUGCUAGAGGAUUGGAGAGGUAGCUGGAAUUCACGGUGUAGCAGUGAAAUGCGUAGAGAUCGUGAGGAACACUCGUGGCGAAAGCGAGCUACUGGACAAUAUCUGACGCUGAGGCUCGAAGGCCAGGGUAGCGAAAGGG